rnacentral:rRNA from 1 species
AUUGAACGCUGGCGGCAGGCCUAACACAUGCAAGUCGAGCGGAUGAGUGGAGCUUGCUCCAUGAUUCAGCGGCGGACGGGUGAGUAAUGCCUAGGAAUCUGCCUGGUAGUGGGGGACAACGUUUCGAAAGGAACGCUAAUACCGCAUACGUCCUGCGGGAGAAAGUGGGGGAUCUUCGGACCUCACGCUAUCAGAUGAGCCUAGGUCGGAUUAGCUAGUUGGUGAGGUAAAGGCUCACCAAGGCGACGAUCCGUAACUGGUCUGAGAGGAUGAUCAGUCACACUGGAACUGAGACACGGUCCAGACUCCUACGGGAGGCAGCAGUGGGGAAUAUUGGACAAUGGGCGAAAGCCUGAUCCAGCCAUGCCGCGUGUGUGAAGAAGGUCUUCGGAUUGUAAAGCACUUUAAGUUGGGAGGAAGGGCAGUAAGUUAAUACCUUGCUGUUUUGACGUUACCAACAGGAUAAGCACCGGCUAACUUCGUGCCAGCCGCCGCAGUAACAC